ensembl:lncRNA
UGAUAAGUAGCCUUGCAUAAAUCUAUAAACUGAAUUCCUAUCUUUAUGGAAAUACAUCUCGAAGAUGUUCUCGAAGUUGUAAAGUAAUUUGUGAUAUUAUGAAAGGUGACUGAAAAGGGGAUAUUGCUGAAGCUGUGUCCCAGUGUUCUUUAAUGUUUAUUUUGACACACAUCACAUUACUCCAGUAUUCAGUUAGAAAUAUAUUUCAGUGGAUUGAACACAAUAUCUGACAAACGCAUGAAGAAAACCAGAAACUCACAUCUUAAAUUCAUAUAAAAGUACAUUUUAUUUCCACAAAUUAAAAAUCAAAAUCAAUAGUAAGUCUGUAGAGAGAACAGUGGAGAGGGAAAGCAGGUUGUGUGUGUUCUCCAGUGUGUGUGUGUGUGUGUGUGUGUGUGUGUGCGCAGCGUCCGCUGAAACUAUGAUCCAAGCAUAUCCAUCUUACACAUUUACAAUUUACAUGAGAAGAGAGAGAAAAGAAAAUGUCCAAAACGCAUCUUUCUGAGGCCCAGCAGAACCACGCGCUGCUGCGGUCCACUCACAGUACAAACGUCCACAUCUCCAGCGUACCGCGAGACACUGUGUGCCUUCAUGGCAGAGAGAGAAUGUGGAAGUCGAGGGAAAAUAGAAAUAAAAAAGGAAUAGUACGGAGAAAGUAAAAAAAAUAAAAACCCAAUUAAGACAGCUGGGCAGGGAGAGGGAAACAGAAAUACAGGAACACACAGGGCAGCACUUCCUGUUGAGAGCGCUGGCAUUCGACCUCGCUCACAGGAAGUAGUCAGCCACUGGCUUUUUGGAGGGAAUGCCUCUCGUUUCUUGUGGAGCCGCUUCGAAUAUGAUGAACUCUUUCUGCAGUAGUUGGGAGCAGACCACACAGUGAGAACCGUCUCGUUGAAGUGCCACUUGUAGCCCUCCAUAACGAGCUGAUGCGCUCUGCAGAUCAUGUCGAUGUCGUUAGCGGCGUUAAACUGGGCCACGACGUCACUCCCGAACAGAUACCCGGCUCCCCGCGGGCUCACGCCCCAUCCUGUGGUGUCUGCAACAGACAUGAUACCAACGUUCAGUCCCUUCCACGAUCGAUCCUCGUUUCAAUUAACGAUCAAUUAUUAGAUUAAUCGCUAACCUUAAUGCUGCAAAACGCAUCUACUGCAGUGCCACUCUAAAGGCCAGCUUCCUCACCCGAAUUAAAGGGCUUUAGUCUAAAUAAAGGCUAGUAGCACGACUGUAAAGUGAACAGAUGUGAUAAUGACCAUUGGAUAAAAUCCUAAUUACGUUUAGGAUCAUUUUACUUUGUUGACUGUUUCAUAUCUCGUCAUGGAGAGUGCUGAAUGCUGUUGUAUUUUAAAACACAAUCACAAUGUUGGCAUUUAAAAUAAAAUGAUCCAAAACGUAACUGCGGCGCGAUCAGAGAACGUUACAUCGUGACCAUGCUUUUGCAUUCAUGCUGUUCGAUACAUUUAAAGCCAUACGCGGCUUUGUGAACAGAGGUCUUACGGGUUUGGAACAACAUCAGGAUGAUGGAGAACAUCUCUACCGUAAUCCAGAGAGCAGAACUACCUUCAGGAUCUGACCACAGGAGGUCACACAUGGGCCCGUCGUGAGGCACUUCCUGCUUCCUGUCGAUGGUGCGGAUCUGGUCCAGAGUCUGGAUGGAGGGCGACAGACCGCCGUGAACACAGAAGAUCUGCGGGUCACAACAAACACAUCCUCGUCAGACGAUUUGCACGCAGCAAGACAACCCCGUUAACAAACAGACGGAGAGCCUCACUUUGCCGUCGAUGAUGGCGGAGAGGGACAGAUAGUCGAAGAUCUCCGUGCAGUACCUCCACACCGUGACCGAGCCGUACUUCCUCAAACACUCGUCGUAGAAGCCAUACACCUGCGUGAUCUGCCUGGACUCGUGAUUUCCCCGGAUCAGCGUGAUUCUGUCUGGAUAACGCACCUGCCACGAUUAAGAUCACACUUCAUUAGAAAGUCUUCUGUGUGAAUCUCUGUUAAACUGUAAUUUAUUUCUGUGAUGUGCAGCUGUAUUUUCAGCAUCAUUACUCCAGUCUUCAGUGUCACAUGAUCUUCAGAAAUCAUUCUAAUAUGAUGAUUUGCUGCUCAAGAAACAUUUCUCAUCAUCAAUUCUGAAAAACAAAUGAUGCUGAAAUGAAGCGACAGUAAAGACAUUCAUAUAGUUACAAAUUAAUUUGCUUCUAUUCAUCAAGAGUUUCCACAAAAAUAUUAAGCAGUAAAAACUGUUAAAACAUAGAUAAUAACAGCCAUUAUUAAUUUUAAACAAGCA